rnacentral:lncRNA from 12 species
AUGUCACAGACAGGUGUGUACCCAGGACAGACACACCAGCACCGUGAUUUUCCUGACUCAGCAGGUCUCCCCCCUACUCCAUCUGGUCCUCCACAGGCAUGUCUGGCUCAAGCACUCUGGCAGGCUCAUCAAACCAGCCUUACACCAUGCCAGAGGCACUGAAUGCAGCUUUACACCUGGAAUAUCAUGAGCAAGUUUUUGGGGCAAGAGAAGAGGAGAUCUGCAAGCUGAGUCUGUGCUCGAGAUGGCGAUGUGGCACAGAGCAGGAGCUGUCAGCUGUGAGCACCCAUGAGCUCUCAGCCCCUGCACUGUCAGUUUUCAGCUAUGCUCUGCACCCCAGUAAAUAAUAUUUACAUGGUGCUCGAAUAUGUUUCGCCCACUCUCUGUGGUUUCACCACAGCCUUUGUAUUCACCUAAUGAACAACAAUCAGAAGGAGGAGAGUUAUCUACCCUAUAUACACCAAAACACUGAUUCAAAUGCAGAAAAACAAACAUGCAAAAAGAAUGCCUGUGUUUCUGAUACUCUCCAUCAUUUUUCUGCACCACCACCACCACCACCAGAAAACUUUCCUAAAAACCAAACUACUUCUGACAGAAAAAAGGUCAGGAAUACUUUGCUUAAAUUAAAGAAUAGUGUAAAUUAACAAUAUCAAAGCUGGAAUCUUUAUCUGCUGCCUAUACUAGCC